GAUGAACGCUGGCGGCGUGCCUAAUACAUGCAAGUCGAGCGAACAGACGAGGAGCUUGCUCCUUCUACGUUAGCGGCGGACGGGUGAGUAACACGUAGGUAACCUACCUAUAAGACUGGGAUAACUUCGGGAAACCGGAGCUAACACCGGAUAAUAUUUCGAACCGCAUGGUUCGAUAGUGAAAGAUGGCUUUGCUAUCACUUAUAGAUGGACCUGCGCCGUAUUAGCUAGUUGGUAAGGUAACGGCUUACCAAGGCAACGAUACGUAGCCGACCUGAGAGGGUGAUCGGCCACACUGGAACUGAGACACGGUCCAGACUCCUACGGGAGGCAGCAGUAGGGAAUAUUCCGCAAUGGGCGAAAGCCUGACGGAGCAACGCCGCGUGAGUGAUGAAGGUCUUCGGAUCGUAAAACUCUGUUAUUAGGGAAGAACAAACGUGUAAGUAACUGUGCACGUCUUGACGGUACCUAAUCAGAAAGCCACGGCUAACUACGUG
rnacentral:rRNA from 1 species